rnacentral:rRNA from 1 species
GACGAACGCUGGCGGCGUGCCUAAUACAUGCAAGUCGAGCGAACUUUUAAAAGCUUGCUUUUAAAAGUUAGCGGCGGACGGGUGAGUAACACGUGGGCAACCUACCUGUAAGACUGGGAUAACUUCGGGAAACCGGAGCUAAUACCGGAUAAUUCUUUUCUACACAUGUAGAAAAGCUGAAAGACGGUUUCGGCUGUCACUUACAGAUGGGCCCGCGGCGCAUUACCUAGUUGGUGAGGUAAUGGCUCACCAAGGCAACGAUGCGUAGCCGACCUGAGAGGGUGAUCGGCCACACUGGGACUGAGACACGGCCCAGACUCCUACGGGAGGCAGCAGUAGGGAAUCUUCCGCAAUGGACGAAAGUCUGACGGAGCAACGCCGCGUGAGUGAUGAAGGUUUUCGGAUCGUAAAACUCUGUUGUUAGGGAAGAACAAGUACGAUAGUAACUGAUCGUACCUUGACGGUACCUAACCAGAAAGCCACGGCUAACUACGUGCCAGCAGCCGCGGUAAGAC